GCGCGGGGGGGAGGGAGGUGUCUGUUAAGGAAGUAUUGCUCUGUUAAGUAUCGCGUGCUCUGGCUGAGAUAAAAUGUCAAAAUAUCCCCGGCUGAAACUGCAAAAGAACAGCCUCUCCCGAGCCUUUGCUCCUCUCGCAUGUGUAUUAAUUCAUUAGCCUGAGGAUGCCCACACAGAUGGAUGAAGAACACUAGUCUCCAUGGGAACCAUUGGGGGAAAUUGUGUAAUGAAGUAAAGAAACUUUAAAGAAAGUUAAGCUGUAAAAAUGUGAGACGGAAUAAAACUUCAGACACCCUCUGAAGGGAGCGACAACUCAGGCUGAGAGCACAGCAGCAAUAGAAGCCACAAGGAUCCUACAAAAGCUAUCGACACUCAGAUUUUGAUGAGUAAUUUCUGAUGGGCUAUUAGAUUGAAGACAAAGUUGACGACUGGCAUGCAUGGAUGGUGGAAACCUUGAAGACCUCACAGCUGAUUCUCCAGUGACUUAGUAAUGAUUUGAGACAGAUGUGAAAUGAAGGGUAUGACACAUUAUGAAGUACUCGUAAGCUUUGAAAAUCCAGGUCUUCUGUCCUCAGGUUUUAUAAGGAAAAAAGAUGAAUGAAAUUGUACUGAAGUUCUGUUGCAUUAAAUAAGGGGAAUUCAUUGAAGGGAAAUAGAC